rnacentral:rRNA from 1 species
UACGAAGGAUCCAAGCGUUAUCCGGAUUUAUUGGGCUUAAAGGGUGCGUAGGCGGGCUAUUAAGUCAGACGUGAAAUCCCUCGGCUCAACCGGGGAACUGCGUCUGAUACUGGGUGGCUUGAAUCCGGGAGAGGGAUGCGGAAUUCCAGGUGUAGCGGUGAAAUGCGUAGAUAUCUGGAGGAACACCGGUGGCGAAGGCGGCAUCCUGGACCGGUAUUGACGCUGAGGCGCGAAAGCCAGGGGAGCAAACGGG